rnacentral:lncRNA from 1 species
AAUGGGACAAAAAACUUAAAUGAGCAUUACACAUCAUUAUGCAGUUUAGCUGCAAUAACCAAACGUAAUGCAGGGGUAAAGGCCGAACAAAUGUCAAACUGAUCUCUAUUACUUACGAUGUUUCAUGAAGUUUUUAAAUUAGCGGGGUAGUUGUUUUAUUAAUAUUGUAAAUUCCCCAAUCAUUUUGAAAAUGCUUUACAACUCAAGGAAACAAAGUGAAGUAGUAACAAGGCAUUAAUGCAAAUACAUUGAAAUUUUAUUCUAGCUCAUGAAACAUCCCACAAAUUUGUUAGCCCUAGAGAUGUUAAAUUCUCUAUUUAAGAUAGAGAAGAAAGUGGUACCAUGGAAUUUACAAUUAUACAAUGAUUAAAUAGUCGGUCAGCCCUGGCUUGAAUGACAGUUCUGUUCCCGGUGUGUUCAUAAGUAAAUGUGUUGUUCACGAAAACAUUAUGGCACCCUUUUCCCAAGGCCACAAGGGCCCGACAACUAAAGUCAUCAAUUUUCUUCCCUUUGAAAAUAUAGUUGUAGACGUCGAAUGCAUACUUUAUGCUGAAAUGUUUUUUGCACUCAACCACGGCCGGCGAGUCAUCUAGAUGCGCCAUCGUUGAAAGUGCACAAAUCACCAAAAGUAAAAUAACCGCAAUUGGACACAUGUUUAGUCCGGCCAUAUUGGUGGAAAGAAUUAGUAGCUUUUGAUUUUCUUAGAAAAUGAUCGCUUAGAUGGAGUUAAACUUUGACGAAAUGGUGUUCUACACUUAUAAGGGAUGAGGCAAAGCUGCGAGUUAUUUGUAAAAUGAAAAACGCAUUUUCUUUUAAAACUACUUUAGCAACGUAUUUAAUGAUGUGAGGUAUCAAAUACGAGGGUUUCUAAUUUGGUAUUUAUUUUGGUACGAUAAACGCAACUUACAAGUUCCCAUAAAUUGUUUAAUUAAUCUCAACAAUCACAUAACUAUUUAUUAUUUCGCACAAAAAUUACUUGUUUGUAAAUUCGUACACUAACUAGUUUAUUACAAUAGAAUUGCAGAAAUCGUGAACUGAACUUGCAUGUCGUGUUAGUGACCAUCGUUACGUGAAAAAGAGACGGCAAGUAGGAAAAAGAAUGCGACUAGCCUUAAUUGUUCUGCAGUAAAUGGACAAAUGUAUUUCUCUGCAUUAUUAUUCCUACUUUAUCAAAACGAAAAUGGGACAAAAGAGAUUAAAUUUGUUAAGAAGUGAAGAACUGUUGAAGUACAAUAGAUUCAGUAAAUGAGCACUCAUUUCUUGGUAAACUCAUUUUUGCACAAAUAUUAUAUCACACUCUAUUGCGCAUGGUACAGUACUCAUGCCCUACAC